rnacentral:rRNA from 1 species
AGUAGUUAGAGCCCGUUAAUGGGUGAUAGCGUGCCUUUUGUAGAAUGAACCGGCGAGUUACGAUUUGUUGCAAGGUUAAGCGGAAAAAGCGGAGCCGUAGCGAAAGCGAGUCUGAAUAGGGCGCAUAAGUAACAGGUCGUAGACCCGAAACCAGGUGAUCUACCCAUGUCCAGGAUGAAGGUAAGGUAAUACUUACUGGAGGUCCGAACCCACGCACGUUGAAAAGUGCGGGGAUGAGGUGUGGGUAGCGGAGAAAUUCCAAUCGAACUUGGAGAUAGCUGGUUCUCUCCGAAAUAGCUUUAGGGCUAGCCUCGAGGUAAAGAGUCAUGGAGGUAGAGCACUGUUUGGACUAGGGGCCCUUCUCGGGUUACCGAAUUCAGAUAAACUCCGAAUGCCAUGUACUUAUACUCGGGAGUCAGACUGCGAGUGAUAAGAUCCGUAGUCGAAAGGGAAACAGCCCAGACCACCAGUUAAGGUCCCCAAAUAUAUGUUAAGUGGAAAAGGAUGUGGGGUUGCUUAGACAACCAGGAUGUUGGCUUAGAAGCAGCCACCAUUGAAAGAGUGCGUAAUAGCUCACUGGUCGAGUGACCCCGCGCCGAAAAUGUACCGGGGCUAAACAUAUUACCGAAACUGUGGAUGAACCUCUUUAGAGGUUCGUGGUAGGAGAGCGUUCUAAGGGCGGUGAAGUCAGACCGGAAGGACUGGUGGAGCGCUUAGAAGUGAGAAUGCCGGUAUGAGUAGCGAAAGAAGGGUGAGAAUCCCUUCCACCGAAUAUCUAAGGUUUCCUGAGGAAGGCUCGUCCGCUCAGGGUUAGUCGGGACCUAAGCCGAGGCCGAUAGGCGUAGGCGAUGGACAACAGGUAGAGAUUCCUGUACCAGUGCUAAUUGUUUAACCGAUGGGGUGACACAGAAGGAUAGGGAAUCGCACGAAUGGAAAUGUGCGUCCAAGCAGUGAGUGUGAGAAGUAGGCAAAUCCGCUUCUCGCGAAGCAUGAGCUGUGAUGGGGAAGGAAAUUAAGUACGGAAGUUCCUGAUUUCACGCUGUCAAGAAAAGCCUCUAGGAAGAGUAGUACUGCCCGUACCGCAAACCGACACAGGUAGAUGAGGAGAGAAUCCUAAGGUGAGCGAGAGAACUCUCGUUAAGGAACUCGGCAAAAUGACCCCGUAACUUCGGGAGAAGGGGUGCUCUAUUAGGGUGCAAGCCCGAGAGAGCCGCAGUGAAUAGGCCCAGGCGACUGUUUAGCAAAAACACAGGUCUCUGCAAAACCGUAAGGUGACGUAUAGGGGCUGACGCCUGCCCGGUGCUGGAAGGUUAAGAGGAGUGCUUAGCUUCGGCGAAGGUACGAAUUGAAGCCCCAGUAAACGGCGGCCGUAACUAUAACGGUCCUAAGGUAGCGAAAUUCCUUGUCGGGUAAGUUCCGACCCGCACGAAAGGCGCAACGAUCUGGGCACUGUCUCAACGAGAGACUCGGUGAAAUUAUAGUACCUGUGAAGAUGCAGGUUACCCGCGACAGGACGGAAAGACCCCGUGGAGCUUUACUGCAACCUGAUAUGGAAUGUUUGUACCGCUUGUACAGGAUAGGUAGGAGCCGAAGAGACGUGUGCGCUAGCAUACGAGGAGGCAAUGGUGGGAUACUACCCUGGCUGUAUGACCAUUCUAACCCGCCACGCUUAGCGCGUGGGGAGACAGUGUCAGGUGGGCAGUUUGACUGGGGCGGUCGCCUCCUAAAGAGUAACGGAGGCGCCCAAAGGUUCCCUCAGAAUGGAUGGAAAUCAUUCGCAGAGUGUAAAGGCACAAGGGAGCUUGACUGCGAGACUGACAAGUCGAGCAGGGACGAAAGUCGGGCUUAGUGAUCCGGUGGUUCCGCAUGGAAGGGCCAUCGCUCAACGGAUAAAAGCUACCCCGGGGAUAACAGGCUUAUCUCCCCCAAGAGUCCACAUCGACGGGGAGGUUUGGCACCUCGAUGUCGGCUCGUCGCAUCCUGGGGCUGUAGUCGGUCCCAAGGGUUGGGCUGUUCGCCCAUUAAAGCGGCACGCGAGCUGGGUUCAGAACGUCGUGAGACAGUUCGGUCCCUAUCCGUCGCGGGCGCAGGAAAUUUGAGAGGAGCUGUCCUUAGUACGAGAGGACCGGGAUGGACACACCGCUGGUGUACCAGUUGUUCCGCCAGGAGCAUCGCUGGGUAGCUAUGUGUGGCAGGGAUAAACGCUGAAAGCAUCUAAGCGUGAAGCCCCCCUCAAGAUGAGAUUUCCCAUUUCUUCGGAAAGUAAGAUCCCUGAAAGAUGAUCAGGUAGAUAGGUUUGGAGUGGAAGUGUAGCGAUACAUGGAGCGGACAAAUACUAAUCGAUCGAGGACUUAACCAA